rnacentral:tRNA from 1 species
GCUCCUUUAGUAUAAAAAGUAUAUUUAACUUCCAAUUAAAAGGUUUUCUUUAAAAGGGGUAAUA